AUGCGACGAUUCCUUUUCUUCAUGAUCUUCUUCUGGCUCAGUAAUAGAAUAUUGUUGCUGGGGGAGUCAUGUUGGGGAUGAAGCCAAUUGAAAUUAUUGAUUUCUGUCGGUGUCAGGUUCAAGAACCAGUCACUACUUGUUGUCCCUAGAACGGAGGGGAUCGAGCUUUCUCAGUCGCAGCCCCGAGACUGUGGAAUGAAUUGCCUCUUCAUGUCAGACUGGCCCCCAGCUUUCCGGUUUUUAAAUCGUGACUUAAAACUCGUUUUUUUUCCCCUUGGCUUUUAAUCCAGGAUCUGUAUGCUGCUGUUAUUUCUAUUUAUUGAUUCAUGUCAAUGUACAGCACUCUGGUCAACCUGGAUGUAUUUAAAUGUGCUAAAUAAAGAGAAGAUGAUUCACUGUU